CCGUGAAAAUGAUUCCAUAAAACCAAAGUCCCAUCACACCAACCAAUCUCUUUUCAUUUCAAAUGCAAAAAAAUAAAAUUCUUUCUCCCAAGUAUGUGACCGUGGCAGUAGCUUCCAAUCAUAGAAUGGAUCCCAUCAUCCAAAAUCNAAAUACAUAGGCAUGGUUCCCUUCCAAGAAAGAAAACGUUACAGCACCUCAAAUAUCUUUCUCCGAGAGAACUUGAAUUCUUUUCACCAAGUGUCGGCUAGUAGGAAUGUUGGGAUCCCUAGGGCCAUGUGUCCUCCUCAAUUUAGGAUGGGGUCCACCCAAAAUAAAAAGAAACCCUAAGGUAAGUGUCCUACAAUUUUGGGCCCCUCCUAUUUUUUUAACAAUGGCCCAAUGUGCAAAGGUUUGUCCAAAAAGUUUAAACAAUUAAAUUACAAUACAACUAAAAUUAAAAUGUCUAAUUGUUGAGUCUUGAAUUUAUUUUGUCUCCU
rnacentral:lncRNA from 1 species